rnacentral:ncRNA from 2 species
UGAAUCCGCGCGGGAGAGUCCCCGGCAGCACUGCCGUCGGGGCGCCGAAGGAGCAAGUCCCUCCCUUGAAUCUCUCAGGCCCCCUUACCGCGCGGGCGAG